rnacentral:tmRNA from 1 species
GGGGGCGCCUUGGAUUCGACGGGUAGUCAUGCAGUUCGUCGGGAGCGUGCCGAGUCUCCACUCGUCAAAUGGAAACCUUGAUAGUUGCCAACGACAACUACGCCCUUGCGGCUUAAUUAAGUCCGCACGUGCCGGUGAUGAGCCCUGAUCUGCGGCGCUCAUCGGGACGACGUCAAAGUAGAUCGACACGGUCGGAGUCGCCUCGCGACGACCGCGUAACUUAGCGGGGCUGGUCUUCGCGAUGGGAUGCCUUCUUCCCGCACGCGAUGACGAGAUGAAGAAAGAAGGACACGCACGUAGCGCCCGCGGGCUGGGCUUCUCGGACGUGGGUUCGAUUCCCACCGCCUCCACCA